GUGGGGAAUUUUGGACAAUGGGCGCAAGCCUGAUCCAGCAAUGCCGCGUGCAGGAAGAAGGCCUUCGGGUUGUAAACUGCUUUUGUACGGAACGAAACGGUCCGGGUUAAUACCCUGGGCUAAUGACGGUACCGUAAGAAUAAGCACCGGCUAACUACGUGCCAGCAGCCGCGGUAAGACGUAGGGUGCAAGCGUUAAUCGGAAUUACUGGGCGUAAAGCGCGCGUAGGUGGUUUUGUAAGUUGGAGGUGAAAUCCCCGGGCUCAACCUGGGAAUUGCGCUUGUGACUGCAAGGCUGGAGUGCGGCAGAGGGGGAUGGAAUUCCGCGUGUAGCAGUGAAAUGCGUAGAUAUGCGGAGGAACACCGAUGGCGAAGGCAAUCCCCUGGGCCUGCACUGACGCUCAUGCACGAAAGCGUGGGGAGCAAACAGGAUUAGAUACCCCAGUAGUCC
rnacentral:rRNA from 1 species